rnacentral:rRNA from 1 species
GACGAACGCUGGCGGCGUGCCUAACACAUGCAAGUCGAGCGGGGUCCAUCCGGUAGCAAUACCGGGGAAGACCUAGCGGCGAACGGGUGAGUAACACGUGAGAAACCUGCCCCGAAGUCUGGGAUAACCCGAGGAAACUCGAGCUAAUACCGGAUGUCUUCUUCUGAUCGCAUGGUCGGAUGAAGAAAAGAUUUAUCGCUUCGGGAGGGUCUCGCGGCCUAUCAGCUAGUUGGCGGGUAACGGCCCACCAAGGCGUCGACGGGUAGCUGGUCUGAGAGGACGAUCAGCCACACUGGGACUGAGACACGGCCCAGACUCCUACGGGAGGCAGCAGUGGGGAAUAUUGCGCAAUGGGCGAAAGCCUGACGCAGCAACGCCGCGUGCGGGAUGAAGGCCUCGGUUGUAACGAC